rnacentral:rRNA from 1 species
CUACGGGACGCAGCAGUGAGGAAUAUUGCACAAUGGGGGGAACCCUGAUGCAGCGACGCCGCGUGGAGGAUGACGCAUUUCGGUGUGUAAACUCCUUUUAUAUGUCAAGAAAAUGACGGUAGCAUAUGAAUAAGCACCGGCUAACUCCGUGCCAGCAGCCGCGGUAAUACGGAGGGUGCAAGCGUUACUCGGAAUCACUGGGUGUAAAGGACGCGUAGGCGGGUUGGAAAGUCAGGUGUGAAAUCCUACAGCUUAACUGUAGAACUGCACUUGAAACUUCUAAUCUAGAGUAUGGGAGGGGGAGAUGGAAUUAGUGGUGUAGGGGUAAAAUCCGUAGAUAUCACUAGGAAUACCUAAAGCGAAGGCGAUCUCCUGGAACAUUACUGACGCUAAGGCGUGAAAGCGUGGGGAGCAAACAGGAUUAGAUACCCGCGUAGUC